AUUUUUUUGUAAGAUUGUUUAGUGGUGAGAAAUUGUGGGUUUUGUAGUUGUUCCAUAACUAUCUUGUAGUUGGUUUGUUGAUUAAUCAUGGAAGGUGUUGAAAGUAGCGCUCGUGUUUCUUGGAUUCACAACAAAUUCUAGUUUUGGGAGGAGCUCGAUUCGCUAAUAUUUGGGUAAGUUUCGAAAUUUCAUUCAUGCAAUUAAAUGGGAGGGAGUAAUGUGAAAGUAAUUGAAAUUUUUUUCUAUCGUUAUGUUUAGGUUUGUUUCGCGGACUUUAGUUCGAUUAAGGAGCUUACCUAACGUUAAGGGAAGGGGUUUCUACUACUGGACUCUUAUUAAGAUUGAAAUGUGUAUUGACUGUACGAAUUCUUCUAAACUGAGUAUGAAUGACUGGUGUAUAUAUAUAUAUAAAACUAGUUUUGGUGAAAAAUGUAUACUUUGGUUGACUGACUUACAUUUAGCUGUUGUCAUGAUGACAAUUGUUGAAGUAUGGUUGUUGAGUAUGAGAAUGUGAACGUGUUGAUUGUUGUUUAGAUUGGGUGAACGGUAGAUUAAGUAUGGGCAGUAGACUUGUGAAUGUGAGAAGAGUGUUAUGUAUAUUUACCUUGAUUUUUCUGACGAGUGGAUAUACUACCAAUUAAUAUUAUGAUGGAUUGAGUAGAUUGACUGUAAUGGUGUCAAACUAGGAUGCUUUCAUGAUGGGACUGUUGGACUGUAUUAGGGAUGGACUGAUAAGAUGUUUAGUUUGGACUGAGGAGAAAAUUGUUAGUUUUUCUAUUGGGUAGUGUGCCUUGCAAGUGUCCCGCGGGAUCACCACCUGUUGUGCAUCCUUUGGAAGCACUAGACUAAUAUGUGUUUUCUGCAGAGCACUAGACUGAUAUGUGCGUCCUUCGGGAGGUUAGAUUAAUUAUGUGUAUCCUACGGAAUCACAAGACUGUUAAAGUGCAGGGUACCCCCAAUAGGAAGUUAACAGUUUUAUUUUUCCCCUAACGGGAUUAGUAGUGGGUCUCUUAUUGGGUAUGUUUAUACUCACCCUUUUAUGUUUAACUUUUCAGGCAAAGGUAACUAGAGGGGCAGACCGACAAGGGACAAGGAUCUGUGAUUGCCAUAGGAAAAAUGUCUUCUAAAUUGCUUCCACUGGUGGUUUUAAUUUUAUUUGUGAUUGAACUAAGUUUAUGAAUAGUUAUUUUGUAAACAGUACUUUUAGAAUUUUAUUUGUUUGAAAUAGGGC
rnacentral:lncRNA from 1 species